rnacentral:rRNA from 1 species
ACAGCAGUAGCCGCGGUAAUACGUAGGGUGCGAGCGUUAAUCGGAAUUACUGGGCGUAAAGCGUGCGCAGGCGGUUGUGUAAGACAGGUGUGAAAUCCCCGGGCUUAACCUGGGAACUGCGCUUGUGACUGCACAGCUAGAGUAUGGCAGAGGGGGGUGGAAUUCCACGUGUAGCAGUGAAAUGCGUAGAGAUGUGGAGGAACACCGAUGGCGAAGGCAGCCCCCUGGGCCAAUACUGACGCUCAUGCACGAAAGCGUGGGGAGCAAACAGGCUUAGAUACCCCCGUAGUCCCUGUCUCUUAUAC